GACGGCCUUCGGGUUGUAAACCUCUUUCAGCAGGGAAGAAGCGCAAGUGACGGUACCUGCAGAAGAAGCGCCGGCUAACUACGUGCCAGCAGCCGCGGUAAUACGUAGGGCGCAAGCGUUGUCCGGAAUUAUUGGGCGUAAAGAGCUCGUAGGCGGUUUGUCGCGUCUGCUGUGAAAACCUGAGGCUCAACCUCGGGCUUGCAGUGGGUACGGGCAGACUAGAGUGCGGUAGGGGUGACUGGAAUUCCUGGUGUAGCGGUGGAAUGCGCAGAUAUCAGGAGGAACACCGAUGGCGAAGGCAGGUCACUGGGCCGCAACUGACGCUGAGGAGCGAAAGCAUGGGGAGCGAACAGGAUUAGAUACCCUGGUAGUCCAUGCCGUAAACGUUGGGCACUAGGUGUGGGGCUCAUUCCACGAGUUCCGUGCCGCAGCAAACGCAUUAAGUGCCCCGCCUGGGGAGUACGGCCGCAAGGCUAAAACUCA
rnacentral:rRNA from 1 species